UGGAAAGUUCAUUGUUCGACACCAUGGAUCUCCAGGUGGGUCAAGUUUAGAGAUGCACCAACCUGGAGGACUCCAUGCUGUUGAGCUGUUCACGA
rfam:Pongo abelii chromosome 7.